GACGUAGGUGGCGAACGUUAUCCGGAAUUAUUGGGCGUAAAGAGCUCGUAGGCGGUUUGUCGCGUCUGCUGUGAAACCCGAGGCUCAACCUCGGGCCUGCAGUGGGUACGGGCAGACUAGAGUGCGGUAGGGGAGAUUGGAAUUCCUGGUGUAGCGGUGGAAUGCGCAGAUAUCAGGAGGAACACCAAUGGCGAAGGCAGCACUCUGGGCCGGUACUGACGCUGAGGAGCGAAAGCGUGGGAUCAAACAGG
rnacentral:rRNA from 1 species